CCAACCCCACCCAGCAGCGAGAUCGCCGGCCGCCGCCGCUGAUGGGCGAGCUGAUUCUCUUCCGCUUCCCGCCCGCCGACCCCGCUAGCGCUCGUCUGCAAGCUGUGGUUCCACAUUCUCCGGCGAGGGCUUCCGCCGCAGGGCCCCCGUGCUGGUCUGGUCUGGGAUGAGGACGAUCUCAUGAAUGAUGAGCUCGCCGUCUGGGACCCCAUGACAGGCGAGGAGCGGAUGACCCUUCCUGGUGGUGCUAGUGGACACCGAAGCAAGGGUAAAACUGUAAAAGUGGUACGGUGAACUGGUUAUGCACUUGCUGCUGAAGGAGACUCAGAAAAAUCUGCUCCUGAAGCUGACAUAGAACAGCCUACUGUACGUCAUAUUGACUGAACUUGAAAAGAAGCGUGAAGAACUGGAGCAAGCAAUGUCGAAAGGGGGAAUAACCGAGCUGGCCGGGGUUCCUGGAUUUGCCAAGCCCUGCAAUAGAUGAGAUCAUGAAGAUGAUUGCAUCCAGGGCAGCUGUUGGGUAGAAAGUUGCUGAUGGGCAAAGAGCUGCAUCUUUUACUUCUUCUCAGAUGGCCACUUCGAGCAAUGUCUCUGGCUCAGUCAUGUCUACGGCAGCAACAACCAGAAGUACUGUAACUGACCUCGGGGUUGUAGGCAGAGGUGUCAAACGAGCUAGCAGCCUAGCGUCAAGGUGAUAACAGCUGAACCUGCUCAAGAAGCCUGCAGUGGAUUCAGCACCUGUGAGAGGAGAUAGCAGCAACAGCUCUGAGAGCAGGUUCUUCAUACAACACAGAAUGGUGAUGAUUCUGUAUCGAAGUACAGUACAAGUUCACUAGCCCUACCCCUCAUGCUAACUUGCUGGAAUCUGUUAGCUGCCUAUGUGGUUCAAUUCGGUUUCAUUUAAUGUGGCCUGAUGUCAGCCGUUUUAUGAAAGCUAUUUAGAAAAAUGUUUUAGAAGGGGCUGCUUGAGACAUUGACUCAUUCUGAGCUUUGUACCUUGUAAAGGUUAAAUUGCUGAGAAGUUCAUCAAGCAU